CUCUGGUCUUGACAUUGCAUCUUGAUGGAGGAUGUAGGAGCCAUACCACUUCGAAGUAAGGUCCUGCCGUAGUGUCAUGGCACAGUUCUUCAGCUGGAUACAGUCAUCCCCUUCCCAUCCUCUACUCGACUCAUGUGUGGUAUUGCUGUGCACUUUCCAGAUAAGAAGCAGCUGCAUUUCAGAGGAGGCCAGAAUAGAUGAUCUCUGUGGUCCCCUCUGGCCUUAAACAUCUAUGAAGAGCCUUCCUUUAACAGUCAGCCUUAAAAGUGAUUGGAAGGCCACCAUGAAAAGUACCAUGGCAAUGGGUGCUGUCGACACACUUAAGAUAAAUGUAAAGCCCGGCCCAGCUAUGAGGAUAGAUCAGUCAACUUAAAUCUCUCCCUGUGUAGAAAGGUGGCACAGCAUGACAAGGGCUGCCAAGCUCAUCCAAGAAGGAAUGGAGCACCAAGCACAAAUCGGAUUGGACGUGAACUACCUGUUCUGGAAAGAAUGGCCAGGGAUGGAAACAAUGUGAGAC